AGAGUUUGAUCCUGGGUCAGGACGAACGCGGCGGCGUGCNUAAUACAUGCAAGUCGAGCGGAUCUUAUCCUUCGGGAUAAGGUUAGCGGCGGACGGGUGAGUAACACGUAGGUAACCUGCCCGUAAGACUGGGAUAACAUUUGGAAACGANUGCUAAUACCGGAUACGCAGCUUGGUCGCAUGACCNUGCUGGGAAAGAUGGAGCAAUCUAUCACUUACGGAUGGACCUGCGGCGCAUUAGCUAGUUGGUGAGGGAACGGCUCACCAAGGCGACGAUGCGUAGCCGACCUGAGAGGGUGAUCGGCCACACUGGGACUGAGACACGGCCCAGACUCCUACGGGAGGCAGCAGUAGGGAAUCUUCCGCAAUGGACGAAAGUCUGACGGAGCAACGCCGCGUGAGUGAUGAAGGUUUUCGGAUCGUAAAGCUCUGUUGCCAGGGAAGAACGCUUGGGAGAGUAACUGCUCCCAAGGUGACGGUACCUGAGAAGAAAGCCCCGGCUAACUACGUGCCAGCAGCCGCGGUAAUACGUAGGGGGCAAGCGUUGUCCGGAAUUAUUGGGCGUAAAGCGCGCGCAGGCGGCCUUGUAAGUCUGUUGUUUAAACUCGGGGNNNAACUCNNGA
rnacentral:rRNA from 1 species